rnacentral:ncRNA from 1 species
ACCCCCGUGAGAAUGCCCUCAGCCCCUUGCCCAGGGGUGAGGAGCGGACAUCAGGCACACCUACACCGCCCAAAACGUCUUGCCAUGCCACGCCCCCAAGGGAAAUCAGCAGUAAUAAACAUUAAGCCAUUAGUGAAAACUAGACUUAGUUAGGGUUAUUUUAAGGGUCGGUAAAAUUCGUGCCAGCCACCGCGGUUAUACGAAAGACCCUAGUUGAUACUCACGGCGUAAAGGGUGGUUAAGGGUAAUACACAAUAAAGCCAAAGAUCUUCUAAGCCGUUAUACGCACCCCGAAAGUCACGAGGCCCAAAUACGAAAGUAGCUUUAAAACAAGCCUGACCCCACGAAAGCUAAGAAACAAACUGGGAUUAGAUACCCCACUAUGCCUAGCCUUAAACCCAGAUGCACAGGUACAACCGCAUCCGCCCGGAUACUACGAGCACAGCUUAAAACCCAAAGGACUUGGCGGUGUCUCAGACCCACCUAGAGGAGCCUGUUCUAUAACCGAUAACCCCCGUUAAACCUCACCACUUCUUGCAUAAACCGCCUAUAUACCGCCGUCGUCAGCUUACCCUGUGAAGGCCCAACAGUAAGCAAAAUGGGCACACCCAAAAACGUCAGGUCGAGGUGUAGCGCACGAAGUGGGAAGAAAUGGGCUACAUUUUCUGUCACAGAAAAUUACGAAUAGUACUCUGAAACAUAGUACUUAAAGGUGGAUUUAGCAGUAAAAAGCAAACAGAGAGUCCAUUUGAAUAAGGCUCUGAGACGCGCACACACCGCCCGUCACCCUCUCCACCAUACACCCAUUAUACACAUCCCUAAUACCUCUUAGAUAAGCUCAGGAGAGGCAAGUCGUAACAUGGUAAGUGUACCGGAAGAUGCACUUGGAUUAAC